CACGUCCAGAGAAUCAGUCAGUCUUUCGUGGUCUUUCGAACCACGUCGCCGUAGAUAUAAUAUACUUUUAAUAAAGUGUGUGAAUAUAUAUAUUCUUCCAACAUUGCAUACUUCUAAAGCAUUAAUUUGCUGCAGUUUAUUUUUAAAACAAUAUAUAGUUUUAAUCAAUAUAGUUUUCCAAUUAACAUUCUGUUUCGAAAUAUUCGUGUGUUUUACAGACUUAAAAUAAAUUUUUCGACACGAUGAUAUUUCUACUAUUAAUUAGCGGAAUAAUGUAUAUCGUUGGGACGGCUUCUACUCCUAAUCAAUCGUCUUUAUGCUAUCAACCAUCAAAAUAUAUAAAACCAAAUCAUUACGAUAUCAUGUUUAUAUCAUGUAUAGAAGAAAACAUUUUCUAUGGAGAAUACAAUAUCAGCAUCAACAUUCUUAACAAAACGCAACAUAUAUUAAUCAACAACAUACAUUCAGAAAAAUUAUAUUUUGAAAAUAUAAUUUUAAUUAAAAAUCUAGAAAAACAUCAUGAGAAUAUUAAGUAUACAGUUUAUAAACCGACAUAUGAUAUUCAAGAAGACAUAAUUGACCUUUAUUUUAAGGAUAAGUUAUUACCAGGAAAUUACACUUUAUAUAUUACAUAUUUUGGUUUUACUGAUGAAGUCUUUAGAAUUUUCGAUGUGAAAAAAAAAUUGCUUUGGUAGCUGCUACUCAUUUCCAUAUAAUAGGCGCUCGACAAUUGUCUUCAUGUUGGAGUCAACAAAAUUUAUUGUUAGAAGCAACUUUUAACAUAUCUAUAGGAUGUAAUCAAUGCACGGCUUUGUCAAAUAUGCCAUUGCAAAAUACAGAAAAAAACAAGCACAAUAU